GAUGAACGCUGGCGGCGUGCUUAACACAUGCAAGUCGAACGAUGAAGCCCAGCUUGCUGGGUGGAUUAGUGGCGAACGGGUGAGUAACACGUGAGUAACCUGCCCUUAACUCUGGGAUAAGCCUGGGAAACUGGGUCUAAUACCGGAUAGGAGCGUCCACCGCAUGGUGGGUGUUGGAAAGAUCUAUCGGUUUUGGAUGGACUCGCGGCCUAUCAGCUUGUUGGUGAGGUAAUGGCUCACCAAGGCGACGACGGGUAGCCGGCCUGAGAGGGUGACCGGCCACACUGGGACUGAGACACGGCCCAGACUCCUACGGGAGGCAGCAGUGGGGAAUAUUGCACAAUGGGCGCAAGCCUGAUGCAGCGACGCCGCGUGAGGGAUGACGGCCUUCGGGUUGUAAACCUCUUUCAGUAGGGAAGAAGCGAAAGUGACGGUACCUGCAGAAGAAGCACCGGCUAACUACGUG
rnacentral:rRNA from 1 species